AUUGAACGCUGGCGGCAGGCCUAACACAUGCAAGUCGAGCGGAUGAAGGGAGCUUGCUCCUGGAUUCAGCGGCGGACGGGUGAGUAAUGCCUAGGAAUCUGCCUGGUAGUGGGGGAUAACGUCCGGAAACGGGCGCUAAUACCGCAUACGUCCUGAGGGAGAAAGUGGGGGAUCUUCGGACCUCACGCUAUCAGAUGAGCCUAGGUCGGAUUAGCUAGUUGGUGGGGUAAAGGCCUACCAAGGCGACGAUCCGUAACUGGCCUGAGAGGUUGAUCAGUCACACGGGAACUGAGACACGGUCCAGACUCCUACGGGAGGCAGCGGGGGGGAAUCUUGGACAAUGGGCGAAAGCCUGACCCAGCCAGGCCGCGUGGGUGAAGAAGGUCUUCGGAUUGUAAAGCACUUUAAUUGGGGAGGAAGGGAGGUAGGUUAAACCGUGCUUUUUUGGACGUUACCAACAAAAAAAGCACCGGCUAACUUCGU
rnacentral:rRNA from 1 species